GUCCCGAGAAGAGAAGGCCAAGGGUGGGGACAUGGUAACAGUCUUCAAAUAUGUAAGAAACUGUUCUAAAGAGGAUGGUGAUCAACCAUGCUCCAUGUCCACUGAGGACCCCAGUCUUAGGAAGAAUGCCUGUUCGCCUUGGGUCUGAGAUGGACCAAGGAACAAUCCUCCUGGAAAUCCGGUUCCAAGCCCGGUUUUAUGACAGAGCAGCACCUUCGCUUUUAUCUUUUGUCCUGGAGGGGAUUUAAUUGUUUGCUCGUCACCCGGGGUGAGCUCGUAGACUCUGCAUUUAAUUCUGUGUGGUUGGUGGGUCCUGACUUUCAUCUCCCUUGUGCCAAAGCUGAUAUAACGGUGAUGACUGCAGUGAAGCCAGGCCUGUAUUUGUUGUGAAGCCCCAAAGAGGCCCUUUGGCAGUAAACCAACAACUCUAAGCGGCACCGUUUGAAACUUAAACUUUAUUGCGACAACGAACUAAAACUGGUACAUGUGCGAGGACUGCAGAGCGCCUGUCGGAAAGGACUGGUCAGAAAUCACAACUCA